AGAGUUUGAUCCUGGCUCAGGAUGAACGCUAGCGGCAGGCUUAACACAUGCAAGUCGAGGGGCAGCACGGGUAGCAAUACUUGGUGGCGACCGGCGCAAGGGUGCGUAACGCGUGAGCAACAUGCCCGUAUCAGGGGGAUAAUCCAUGGAAACGUGGUCUAAUACCCCAUAGUAAGUUUUUGGGGCAUCUCAAAGAUUUUAAAGCUUUGGUGGAUACGGAUUGGCUCGCGUGACAUUAGCUAGAUGGUAAGGUAACGGCUUACCAUGGCUACGAUGUCUAGGGGUUCUGAGAGGAAGGUCCCCCACACUGGAACUGAGACACGGUCCAGACUCCUACGGGAGGCAGCAGUGAGGAAUAUUGGACAAUGGAUGGAAAUCUGAUCCAGCCAUGCCGCGUGCAGGAAGACGGCCCUAUGGGUUGUAAACUGCUUUUGUAUGGGAGCAAUAAGAUCUACGUGUAGAUUGAUGAGAGUACCAUACGAAUAAGCACCGGCUAACUCCGUGCCAGCAGCCGCGGUAAUACGGAGGGUGCAAGCGUUAUCCGGAUUUAUUGGGUUUAAAGGGUGCGUAGGCGGUUUGAUAAGUCAGCGGUGAAAUAUUUCAGCUUAACUGGAAGGGUGCCGUUGAUACUGUCGAGCUUGAAUUUAGUUGCUGUGGGUGGAAUGUGUGGUGUAGCGGUGAAAUGCAUAGAUAUCACACAGAAUAUCGAUUGCGAAGGCAGCUCACAAAGCUAAUAUUGACGCUGAUGCACGAAAGUGUGGGGAUCAAACAGGAUUAGAUACCCUGGUAGUCG
rnacentral:rRNA from 1 species